UACGUAGGGUGCGAGCGUUUGUCCGGAAUUAUUGGGCGUAAAGGGCUCGUAGGCGGUUUGUCGCGUCGGGAGUGAAAACACCGGGCUUAACUCGGUGCUUGCUUUCGAUACGGGCAGACUAGAGGUAUGCAGGGGAGAACGGAAUUCCUGGUGUAGCGGUGAAAUGCGCAGAUAUCAGGAGGAACACCGGUGGCGAAGGCGGUUCUCUGGGCAUUACCUGACGCUGAGGAGCGAAAGUGUGGGGAGCGAACAGG
rnacentral:rRNA from 1 species